AGAAGAAGAAUAAGAAGAGGAAGAAGAAGAAUCGACCCGUUUCCAGUAACUUCUCCGGACAUUUUGUAGCAACAUUGUUCACUUUUGAUCUCAACUCGUUUCCGUGCAAAUCGCUCCUGGAUUCCUCUAAAGAAGACCAGCGACAUUCUUGAGUCGGAUGUGAUUUUUUUCUUCUUUAUGUCUUAGUUUUGAACUUUCUGCUCGUUUUGCUUCAAAUAAUUAUCCACCAGCUUCGGUGCUUUGGCUCAGCACCACCUUCCUCUGGCCUCCACCUUCAGCUUCUUAUCGCAUUUUGUCGCACAGCUGAUUGAGAGAAACUCGUGUUUCUGUUUCUCUUCACGGAGUCGUUGCUUCUAUUCUCGUCAUCUGAUCUGAACCAACUAGUCCAGCUGGUUCCACCCAGCUCGCCUCCAUUUACCCUCCGAGAGAAGCGACCCCACCCUUUAGUUCACCUCCACCCUUUAGUUCACCUCCACCCUUUAGUUCACCUCCACCCUUCAUCCGCAACGCACAAUCCGCCAGAGAAGCGUCCUCAAGCGGAUCUGGAUCCAUAAAAACUCUUUUCUUUCACUCUUUACGUUUGUGUUUUUUGUUUCCUUUUGUUUCCUCGUGAGUCAAACCGGAGAAACAGGAAGUGAAACGUUCUUCACUUCCUGGUUUCAUCGUCCAGCUUCCAUUCUGCACAAUGAGGUCGUGCGUCGUUCUUCUCUUUGCUUCUCUGCUCACAUUAUGUGAAGCACAAGGAACCAUUGUGACUCCUGUGUUUGUGCUGAAGGGACGUGAUCUGCUCCUCAAGCUUCAUGCUGAUCCUCCUGAGG